rnacentral:sRNA from 1 species
CUCCCCAGCUCACCCACCUCCUCUCCGGCCCACCUAUCACCCCCCCAGCUCACCCACCUCUUUGACAAUGAUGGCACGGUGGUGUUCGCCAUCUUCAUGGCUCUCUGGGCCACGGUGUUCCUGGAGAUCUGGAAGCGGCAGCGCGCCCGCGUGGUCCUGCACUGGGACCUGUACGUGUGGGACGAGGAACAGGUGAGGUGGAGCUGGCAGCGCAGCUGAGGCCGACCCGAGCAGGGGCUGUUGGCGCCCGAUGCCCUGCACGGCCCACAUAUGCCUGCCGUGUCUGAGGAGGAAAUGGCACUUCAGCUCAUUAACUGCCCCGACUACAAGCUCCGGCCAUACCAGCACUCCUACCUACGCAGCACCGUCAUCCUCGUCCUGACCCUGCUCAUGAUCUGCCUCAUGAUCGGCAUGGCCCACGUCCUGGUGGUCUACCGCGUCCUGGCCUCCGCGCUCUUCAGCAGCUCGGCCGUGUCCUUCCUGGAGGAGCGGGUGACCACGGCCGUGGUAGUGACCGGGGCUCUGGUGCACUAUGUGACCAUCGUCAUCAUGACCAAGGUGGGGCCGGGAGCAGGGCAGGCCCGAGCUGGGGGGUCCACCGGAGCCCCAGUGAGCCCAUUCGGUGCCCUCCUCCGCAGAUCAACAGGCGCGUGGCCCUGAAGCUUUGUGACUUCGAGAUGCCCAGGACCUUCUCGGAGCGAGAGAGCAGGUUCACCAUCCGCUUCUUCACGCUGCAGUUCUUCACCCAUUUCUCGUCUCUCAUCUACAUCGCCUUCAUCCUGGGCAGGAUCAACGGCCACCCCGGGAAGUCCACGCGCCUGGCGGGCUUGUGGAAGCUGGAAGAGUGCCACGCCAGCGGCUGCAUGAUGGACCUCUUCGUGCAGAUGGCCAUCAUCAUGGGCCUGAAGCAGACGCUCAGCAACUGCGUCGAGUACCUGGUCCCGUGGGUGACCCACAAGUGCCGCUCUCUGCGGGCCUCCGAGUCCGGGCACCUGCCCCGGGACCCCGAGCUCAGGGACUGGCGGCGCAACUACCUUCUGAACCCGGUCAACACCUUCAGCCUGUUCGACGAGUUCAUGGAGAUGAUGAUCCAGUACGGCUUCACCACCAUCUUCGUGGCUGCCUUCCCGCUGGCGCCGCUGCUCGCGCUCUUCAGCAACCUCGUGGAGAUCCGCCUGGACGCCAUCAAGAUGGUCUGGUUGCAGCGGCGCCUGGUGCCGCGCAAGGCCAAGGACAUCGGGACCUGGCUGCAGGUGCUGGAGACCAUCGGUGUGCUGGCGGUCAUUGCCAAUGGGAUGGUCAUUGCCUUCACAUCUGAGUUCAUCCCCCGAGUGGUCUACAAGUACCGCUAUAGCCCAUGCCUGAAAGAAGGCAACUCUACCGUCGACUGCCUCAAGGGCUACGUCAACCACAGCCUGUCCGUCUUCCACACCAAGGACUUCCAGGACCCUGAUGGGAUUGAGGGCUCAGAAAACGUGACUCUGUGCAGGUUUGGAACUCCCCAUCCCCCAAGAAUGCCCUCUGAACUCCUGACCCCUGACCUCAGGUACUUCCUUACCCCAGAUACAGGGACUACCGCAAUCCCCCCGAUUACAACUUCUCCGAGAAGUUCUGGUUCCUCCUGGCCAUCCGCCUGGCCUUCGUCAUCCUCUUUGAGCACGUGGCCUUGUGCAUCAAGCUCAUUGCCGCCUGGUUCGUGCCCGACAUCCCUCAGUCGGUGAAGAACAAGGUUCUGGAGGUGAAGUACCAGAGGCUGCGUGAGAAGAUGUGGCAUGGAAGGCAGAGGCUGGGCGGGGUGGGGGCAGGCUCUCGGCCCCCGAUGCCUGCCCAUCCCACCCCAGCAUCCAUCUUCAGUGCCAGGAGCACAGACGUGUAGGGCCAGAGCCCGUCCAGAGGCCACCAGGAGCUGACAGUGCCACCACCAGCACCUCCCACAAGCCCACCGCUGUGCGUGUUGAGGGGUGCCGUGAGAAGUCUGUGCCCAUGUGGGGCUGCAGGAGUCCCCUGUAUGUUCAGGGCUGUGAGCUGCCACCCUAUUCUGCCUGCUUCGUCUUUGUGGGGGCUCUCAGGCUUGGCACAGCCCUGACUUGAACUCUGGGUGACCCCGGGCACCCACAGAACUGGGAGUGAGGGCUCCUCAGGCAGCCACAAGGCAGGAAAACUGGCACAAGUUUCCUGGGCCUCCCUCUGACUUCUGGGCGCCAGAUCCUGCCGUGCCCCCAUCCUGGCUGUUGGGGGUGUCCUGAGCCCACCUCGCUGGCCUGUUCCCUUCAGCCAGCCCCAGUUUCUGUAAUAAAAUUAAACCUGUCUGU